UACGAGUCACAAUAAUACUUGAGUUUUCAUUCACACCACAAUCAAAGUGGCAUAUAAAUACACAGUUAUUCGUCCAAAUUCAAUAUGCACGGCUUAGUUCUUUUUGGCGUAGUUUGGCUGAUAUAUUAUGGCAUAUAUAAAUACAUUAUGACACAGAAUAUCAUGGUACCCAGAAGCAACGCUGCGGCUCAAGGUUUACAAAGAAACGUUUUUGAUGUCUAAAGCGAUUGUUGGUGACACCUUGGCAAGGCCUUUGGAAUUGUAUGGACUUCUUAUAGACUGAAAAUGUAGGCGAUUUUGUAAAUGCAUCAGAUUAUUGAAGUACUACUUGGACUUUUGCCUACUGUUGUGGUUGUGAUUUUACUCUUGGAACAGGAACAGAUUCCUGAUGUUCAUAGACUUGGUCCAAUGGAUGGAUGGAUUCGAAUGGAUUAAAUGGGUAAAUGGACAAUGGAACUCACUCGGAAGCCUGCACAUGUUCGAGUCUCCGAAUGAUAUCUAUGUAACAGAUAAAUGAUCCUAAUUUCCCGAAUUGCAUACAGAAAAUUGUAUACUAGAAGGAAUACAAAAAUACCACAGAAACACAAGCCCCCUAGGAGAUGGGGCAAGCAUCGGAGUCGUCCUCCAAAGAAAGUCUCAAGAAGGUGUUCCAGAUUGUUCCAGACUGCUUACACCCUCAAUAUUCAUGGCAAUUAUAUAUUUAUAGAUGCAUAGAUCCAUUUCUUAAGUGGCAGAGUUCUCGUUGAUACCCAAAAUGUCCCAUAUUCAUUCGAUUCCAGCCUUAUCCAACGGAAGCCACUUGCUUAACUCAAUCUGAGCUCAUUCUGGGUUCGGUCAUCGCACAGCAUACUAUCCCAUCCCAUCCCAUUCCAUAACCCAUCCUAUCGCCACUCAUCUUUGGCAGGGGAUUUCAUAGAGGCUUGCGAAAUUCCACAUGUGACAAUUCAGCAUUCAAUAGAUGGAUGGCUGGAAUGACUGGGAUGGUUGGGAUGGCAUGGAGCUGGAGCUGGAGCUGGAGCUGGCUAAAAGCCUGUCAAUCGGCGAGAGGAAGCGCUGGGGACAAAUGCCCUAAGUAGAGACCCAAAUCUCUGGAAAGCAAUUAGCAAGGCAAAACCCAAAAGAAAGAUCACCGCAAGACCGCUGUUCGGGGCACCAAUUGCAAUUGCCCAGACGACGGACAGCAUAGCGACACAGAACCCAGAGGAAGACGGACAGAAGCGGGAUUUAUCAGAGACAGAGACUGAGUCUGAGUCUGAGUCUGAGUCCGAGAUGGAGCUGGAGCUGGGGUUUGAGUUGGAGAUGAAGAUGCAGAGACGCAGACGGAGAAAAGCAAUUCUGCGGCUGACGGUUUUCGCAGAAAAUUACAACUUGCGGCGCCCAGCAAAAGUCCAGGAGCGGAUCUCAUCAGCAGAGGCCGAUCUCAAGGGCCCCAAAGUAGAAUCUCAUCAGUCGGUUGGCUGCUAAGAGAAGAGAGAGAAAGGGAGCGCAAGGCCAGACUCGGCAGCCAUGCUGUGAUACUGAAUUCCUAAAUAUAUAUAUGAUUUCUAAGUAUAUAGGAAAUCCUUGAAUUCUUCAGUAUCAUCAAUGAAAUAUCACUACUCUUAAAGAAUGUAAAGCUAGAUUAAGUUGCCACGAAAGGUAUCAGUAAACUUUUUUACAAUAAAA
rnacentral:sRNA from 1 species